CACGUGAGUAACCUGCCCUUGACUUUGGGAUAACUUCAGGAAACUGGGGCUAAUACCGGAUAGGAGCUCCUGCUGCAUGGUGGGGUUGGAAAGUUUCGGCGGUUGGGGAUGGACUCGCGGCUUAUCAGCUUGUUGGUGGGGUAGUGGCUUACCAAGGCUUUGACGGGUAGCCGGCCUGAGAGGGUGACCGGCCACAUUGGGACUGAGAUGCGGCCCAGACUCCUACGGGAGGCAGCAGUGGGGAAUCUUAGACAAUGGGGGAAACCCUGAUCUAGCCAUGCCGCGUGUGUGAUGAAGGCC
rnacentral:rRNA from 1 species